AGCGCUUGCAGGCCAAGCUGGACAGGCUUCAGGGGUGCAGUCCAAAUCACCUGAGCGUCCAAGACCUGCAGGUCUCAC
rnacentral:lncRNA from 1 species